AGUUGAGUUUUGGUCUUCACGCUUUACUCAAGUGACCGAGCCCAAUAUUGAGUAACCUUUAUCUCCUCUACCGCGUCUGAUCGAAAUUUAGGGUUCUUCUAUUGGUGGAUUCGAUUAGGCCGGUUGAGAUUCUUCUUCAUUAGUCGAAAUGCCUCCGUUUCAUCCCAUUUAACCUCUUCUUAACUCGAACAAUCACUAUAUAGCCAUCAAUGUGAAGUUCCGUCUUGCGAGGCGGUGUAUCUGCCCGUAUAAAAAGGUCAGGUUUCCUCCUCUGAAAACCAUCUCCUCAAUCCCUCAAAACUAACCAUUAAACUUAUUUUCUGAGAACUGGCUAGCGCAUCAAUUUUCCUUUUUGAUUUGAAGACCGAAUCGACGAUGCUCCUCCACCGUUUGAAUUGCGGUUGAUCCGUUUCUGGGAGGCCAGGAACGUCUUGAGGCGGCGGCGAAAUCAGGCGAGUGGAUAAGCUCAUACUGGAUUCACAGGCAACCAUUGCUGCGACUUGCUUGCUUGGAAAGCCUGCAAUGAUAAUCAUGACAUACCAGAAGAUGUAGAUAUAUCAUUGUAAAUCGAACCUUCAACUUGAUCACUUCUUGGCGGUUGUAACAACUAUAAACGCAAGACGGGUCAAAGCAGAGAAUAUAUGCACACUCAUCAUGAAGUACGCAGAGAACCGGUUGCCACUAAUCGAAGAUGAUUUGGAAAUAAUACGAGGUUACACCGUUACAGGUCAAGAAACAUUGAGUUGCAGUUCAGUGUUGAACGAGAGAGAACAGAGGAAAGAAGUUUAGAAUGUUAAGAACAAAAGCUUAGUAACAUGUGCUUCAUACACAACCUGGAACAGUACCAUGCCAGUUUCUGUUGAGCUAGGCUCGCAUAUUUCGAUGGUGACUACCGGCCAAGCGCAGCAGAGGAUCUUAUACAUAUACCAAAUAAGUCAAUAAGAAGAUGGCACAAAGAGAAAGAAGAAAGCAAUGAUCAAGAAAACAAUUACCAAAAAGGCUCUAAAAGCUUCUGGACAGACUGAUUUAUCUGGGAAUGCUUCCAAGGAUCUGCUGCAAAUGCAUAAAGUAAUCUUUACUUUCUAUAAAGUAAUUUACUAUCUUUUUUGUUCGUUUGUUUUCCUUUUGCGACAACUGAGGACUUUAUUGCUGUCCACUUGCAAACUUCUUGCACAUAUUGCUGUGCGGUGAUGGUAUCUUGAAUCGUUGGGUAUGCAGUCGGUGCAAAUACUGUCAGAUUUGUGAUAAGUGUUAUGAGGCUAUACAGAGGCGUGAAGACAUGAAGACAUCCUGUUAAUUUCAAUGAUACACAUUCGUUAUAAACCGAUGUCCAAAUAUAUAGAAAUUUUUUUGUAAUGCUCAGGUUUAAUUAUUAGAAUAU